ACCAGGAUGGCUCAGUGGUAGAGCAUUGACCUAUGAACCAGGAGGUCAUGGUUCAAUUCCUGGUCAGGGUA
rnacentral:tRNA from 1 species